ensembl:rRNA 5S_rRNA 5S ribosomal RNA
GCUUAUGGCCAUACCACUGAGAACGCCUGAUCUCAUCCAAUCUUGGAAGCUAAACAGGGUUGGGCCUGGCUAGUACUUGGAUGGCAGGCUGCCUGGGAAUACCAGGUGCUGCAAACU